GUGGGGAAUCUUGCGCAAUGGGCGAAAGCCUGACGCAGCCAUGCCGCGUGAAUGAUGAAGGUCUUAGGAUUGUAAAAUUCUUUCACCGGGGACGAUAAUGACGGUACCCGGAGAAGAAGCUCCGGCUAACUUCGUGCCAGCAGCCGCGGUAAUACGAAGGGGGCUAGCGUUGCUCGGAAUUACUGGGCGUAAAGGGCGCGUAGGCGGACAGCUUAGUCAGAGGUGAAAGCCCAGGGCUCAACCUUGGAAUUGCCUUUGAUACUGGCUGUCUUGAGUGUGGGAGAGGUGAGUGGAACUCCGAGUGUAGAGGUGAAAUUCGUAGAUAUUCGGAGGAACAGCAGUGGCGAAGGCGGCUCACUGGCUCGAUACUGACGCUGAGGUGCGAAAGCGUGGGGAGCAAACAGGAUUAGAUACCCCAGUAGUCC
rnacentral:rRNA from 1 species